rnacentral:rRNA from 1 species
UACGAAGGGGGCGAGCGUUGUUCGGAUUUACUGGGCGUAAAGCGCACGUAGGCGGCUUUCUAAGUCGGGGGUGAAAUCCUGGAGCUCAACUCCAGAACUGCCUUCGAUACUGGAGAGCUUGAGUCCGGGAGAGGUGAGUGGAACUGCGAGUGUAGAGGUGAAAUUCGUAGAUAUUCGCAAGAACACCAGUGGCGAAGGCGGCUCACUGGCCCGGUACUGACGCUGAGGUGCGAAAGCGUGGGGAGCAAACAGG